rnacentral:lncRNA from 1 species
GAUUCCCUCUGCUGGCUAUCUCGAAUAGCAAGCGAUUUUUGCAGCAACGCUGCUGCCGCUGGAACUGAACCUGAAGAACUCAAAUGCGGGCGGUGGAUUAUUUCUUAUCCCUCCUCCAUCUACCCCACACAAGAGCUGCUUUUUGUUCCUCUUUUUGCCAAGUUCCAAGGAGUCUUGAGACUUCUCUUCUUUUGGUGUGGAUUCCGGAACUCCUUUCUGAAGCAAGAGGCAAAUAUCUCUCAGCAGAGAAUGCCAAGACCAAUCACUUAACCAUGGCAAUCUUACUCAGCAUGGUAAUUCCCACCCUGAUGGUCCCAAGAUGGCUGCAGCAGUUUCAGCCAUGUUAUCCUAAUCCACCAACAUCUGGAGGUAUCUGUCUUUUCAAUCUCCAUCUAUUACAAAUGUAGGAUACUUUUACCAGAAGGUCCUCCUCUAGACUACUACUCAUGUUUCAUUGGACAAAUUUGGUCCCAUGGAAUUUCUUAAGUCAUUUACUGAUGAGGAAAGUGGAAUUAUCAUGACUGGAUUAGACUACCUAAGAUUCACCACUCCUGAGCCUGGAGAAAGAUAAUUUUCUCAGAGCAAACAACUGCAUAUGGCUGAAGAUAGGAAUGAACUAUAAAACAAAAUUGGAGUCCUCCAGGAAAGAAAGGGGGAAUUAAAGGGAAAUGAUUGUGUAGGCAAAACACAAUAGUCUCCAAUGCCAAAUAAACUUUGUUUUGUUACUCUCUCAUCUACUUUAUCACAUUUUUUUCCUUGUUACCCUUCUCACCUUAAUUCAUCACCAAUAAGCCUCUUUAAAUCAAAUUUUUGAUGGUCAUCCAUAAAUCUCCAAGAAAUUGAGUGAUAAUUAACAUUACAGUGAUAAUGAGCUUAAGGUCUUGUUUCUUCUUGAAA